GACGUAGGGCGCGAGCGUUGUCCGGAUUUAUUGGGCGUAAAGAGCUCGUAGGCGGCUUGUCGCGUCGUCCGUGAAAACCUGCGGCUCAACUGCAGGCUUGCGGUCGAUACGGGCAGGCUGGAGUUCGGUAGGGGAGACUGGAAUUCCUGGUGUAGCGGUGAAAUGCGUAGAUAUCGUAGGGAAGACCAGUGGCGAAGGCGAAUCUCUGGACAGUUACUGACACUGAGGCACGAAAG
rnacentral:rRNA from 1 species